UGCCCAAGAGAUCGGGAUAACACCUGGAAACAGAUGCUAAUACCGGAUAACAACAGAUGAUGCCUAUCAACUGUUUAAAAGAUGGUUCUGCUAUCACUCUUGGAUGGACCUGCGGUGCAUUAGCUAGUUGGUAGGGUAACGGCCUACCAAGGCGAUGAUGCAUAGCCGAGUUGAGAGACUGAUCGGCCACAUUGGGACUGAGACACGGCCCAAACUCCUACGGGAGGCAGCAGGC
rnacentral:rRNA from 1 species